UCCCGAUAAAGAUCUGCACAUGUAACCAUGAAAUGUUAAUCUUGAACAUAUAAAAGUCACCAUCACCAAACAUACUUUUAACGCAUCGAAUCAGGAUCAAUGUGUUUUCAAUGGGUACUAGUAGUGUGCGUAUUAUUGGUAACGUCACCGACAUCAGCGGAGGUAGAUGUCCACCCCCAGCUGCCGUUUCUGUGUUGCCUACCAGAACAAUACGAAGCGUUCAUUAUAACGAGCAGCGCUCUGGUUGACGUUGAAGGCGGUGUCGGAGUCGGCGAUGGUAUGGGCUUCACUAACGGCACGAACCAGGUGGUGUACGAUGGCGUUAAUGAGCGGACGUAUAUACACUCGAGCACGGUGAAUUACUUGUCCUUCUACCCAAUUCCCGUGCGUCUGGACAGCAUUUAUAUUAUCGACUACAAACAUAACGUGCAAUAUCACGUGUACGGCGACGGUUCCUGUGACCUUCUUGACGUCGGGCUGCCGCUAUACAAGGAAUGUGUACCAGGAAAUGCGAGUGUGAUGUCCAGAGGCCGGCUGGGAAACUCGGGACCGGAAGUCCUUACUGUGAUGUUCCGUGACCGCAUAUACCUGGACCCAAAUGAGAUCACCCUUACACUGGCAAUGUCCGCUGACCGACCCGACGAGUGCCUGCCAAUCCGCGGCACGACCUCCCAAGCUUACGGGUUCGACUCCGACAAGAACGUCGACAUAGCAACCGUGGACGUGUUGGAUAUCACACGUGGGGUGCAAGAUACACGUGUUUUUAAUCCACCAUCUAACUGCAAAAGACCUCCGAAGGUACUGAUCGAUAGCAUUAACAUAAACUAGCAACUCAAUAUUUUAUUACAUGCACUCCCGUAAAGUGCCCAACGUUUUGAAGCAGUGUCGAUGUCCUGCAAAAUUUGCCGUUUGUAUUGUAGAUUGAUCUGUUGUGACACUGACCUUGUUCAAGUAUAUACUUGCAUGUUCACAAGUACAUGAAUGAUGAAAAUGAAUUAUCAUUACAUAUAUCACGAACCCAUUUACUACAUAGCGCAACCGUUUGGGGUUUAAAGAUUGUAUUCUCUUUUUAUACUCAUCUAUUUAUAAACAUUGAUGAUAACUAUUAUCAUAAUUAAACCUACACCCACACUGCUCUUAUUAUUGUUAUUUACGUUACUUAAUUCAUUUAGAGCUAUACAUAUUGAUUAUUGUAUAAUUUAUCUAUUUGGUAUGCUAUAUAGUACGUUUAAUUGCUCGCGUGUGAAUAAAUGGAUACGAACACAAUAUGGUCGCUUUCAUGGAUAAUCAUUAAUUGGGUACCAAGGUGCAUGGAAACAACAACAGUGUGCUGUUUCCCAGUUCAAUAUGAGGCUUUUAUGCUGGUUUCUGGCGGUGAGGCAAUCCUGAUGGGCGAGCAGGUAACCAGCCAGUUCGGUUAUGGCUACACAAACGGCUCGGUGCAAACGGCGUACGAUUCGAUAAACAAGCGCACCUACAUUCACCAGGAUAUCACCAGCAUCAACUCUAGAUACCCUGGCCAGCCGCAGCAGUGGAAUUUCAUAGACAUCAUUCACUAUGAGAAGAGAACCCGCUGGCGAAUAUACGGUGACAGCUCCUGUGAGAUAUACCACGAUGUGAUGUCGCCUCUUUGGGUAGAGUGUAUUCCAGAAAACGCGACGCUCGUGUCACGCGGUCGUAUUGGCUCACGAGGCGAGGGCGUCACCUACCGCUUCCGGCACUCCAUCUACCUGACCGCGUAUGAGUUGACCGUCACUGUCACUUUAGACGAUUCAAAUCCCGGACAGUGCUGGCCAGUAAGUGUAACGUCAUCGCAGUCAUAUCUGUCGCCUAGCAACAAGAACGUGGACAUGACAACAGCAAAAGUACUUGAUCUUACAGAGGGCAUACCAGAUGAACGGAUAUUUCAGCCGCCAAAUUCAUGUUUUGAAAAUUAAAAAAAUUAACACGUCAUUUUUAUGAUUGUAUUGAUUUAUUUACAGCAUUUUUAGAAGGUCAAUAGCCAAUGUAUAUGUAUUUAUAUGUAUAUUCGUACCUUUGUAAAUAUUAUUUGUUUUAAUGUUACGUUUUUUUCCCAAAAGUCUUCAAAAAUAGAAACAUGUUGGUUGGCCAUAACAUGUUGCAUCCGGUAGCUUUGCACACUAUACUUUAUAGUCUACGUUUCCAUGUUCUUGCCUAUAUCGACUAUAAAAUAUAUAUUAUGCAUUUA